GUAGUUUGAUCCUGGCUCAGAGCGAACGCUGGCGGCAGGCUUAACACAUGCAAGUCGAGCGGGCACUUCGGUGUCAGCGGCGGACGGGUGAGUAACGCGUGGGAACGUGCCCUCUGGUUCGGAAUAACUCAGGGAAACUUGAGCUAAUACCGGAUACGCCCUUUUGGGGAAAGGCUUGCUGCCGGAGGAUCGGCCCGCGUCUGAUUAGCUAGUUGGUGAGGUAACGGCUCACCAAGGCGACGAUCAGUAGCUGGUCUGAGAGGAUGAUCAGCCACACUGGGACUGAGACACGGGCCCAGACUCCUACGGGAGGCAGCAGUGGGGAAUAUUGGACAAUGGGGCGCAAGCCUGAUCCAGCCAUGCCGCGUGAGUGAUGAAGGCCUUAGGGUUGUAAAGCUCUUUUAUCCGGGACGAUAAUGACGGUACCGGAGGAAUAAGCCCCGGCUAACUUCGUG
rnacentral:rRNA from 1 species